ACCUAACCAACUUUGAACCAUUCCAACAUAUGAAACAAAUGUUCAGGAGCAUCAUUUUUUAUUUUUAUUUUGGAGAAUAUCCAUAUAAGAAUCUUAUUUGACAUCAUUGUACAACAAAAUGCGUUCAAAAUAAGGCAGAGCAAGAGAUUCCCACACCUUAGAGCAUGAAGGCUUAGAAGGGCACGCUGUAGAAAGUACCUUUGGGAAACUUUGAGGAGAGACAUCUGAAGGGAAGGAGCCCAAAUGAGAUAAUUGACCCAUUAAGAGGAGAAAACCUCAUUUAGGAUGUCGAGAAGAUCAACCACCAUUUCCACCUUAUAAUCCCAAAGGAUCCUUCUAAAAUCCAAACACUAUACCGCCUCUCCUUGAUUUCACAAUAAGCCUGGACAAGAGUAUUCCUUGAAUAAAUGGAGUACAAUCUCGAAAAUUUACGGGCAAGAGUGACAUCUCCAACUUUUGAAAAUCUAUUCGUUUUGUUUUUAUGCAUUUUUUUAAUGAUAAAAUCUACGACAUGUAUAAUAUUCUUCAAAUACAUUAUCCACCAAUUGACUUGAUUGGCCUACCCUUUGGGCCAAGGCAUGUUCAUGGUUGCCCACGUCAGGGAAUUGGCCUGGUGUUGCUCACAUGUGCCACAUUGGCAAAUAUGGGAAAGACCCUUAUCCAUCUCCUUUAUGUGAGUUGGAUUUGCAAAGUUCACAAUGAAUGAUAAUAAUAAUACCCUAUUAAGCAACUCCUGGAAAGAUUCAAGAAAGAAUUCCUCCCAAUAUCGAGCUUUGAUCAUUGAUCCAAGUAUAUUUCCUCCUUAGAGAGAUCAUCAUAAAAACUCCAGUUACAACUUACAAGAUGGAUUCAACGAAUCCUAUCUUGAAACGAUACUAUCUUAUAACUUCUGUCCUCCAGACACCUAUCCCUAUUGAAGUCACCAACUAUGCAUGAGCUACCGCUAAAAUCUUCAUUGUCUUAUUGCAAUUCUUCCCAAAAGGCAAAUCACAUCUCCCAUGCAGAACAUAAAUUGCUGGCAUUAACCAGUAACCACUAAGAUGAGGCAAUCAAGGAGACGACGAAAACCAAGUGAUUUUUCACAUGAGCUGACAGUGUGAUUAAAACAUAAAUCUUUAUCACAAAAGCACCUAAUAGAAAUAUGAUAGAAAGUCACAACUAGAAUUUAAUACUUAGUUCUGUAAAACAUAUCACAAUGUUAUUUAAUUAAUCCUUGUAACUAUAGCUAGUGAAAAAAAUGCAAUUAAAAUUAAUAAAAAAGUAUACAUAGACAUAACUACAUCUAGUUUUCGUUCUUUUUCUCUCAUUUUUUUUUGGUAUAUUUUUAGGCUUGGCCUUCUUUUAAUAAAAUUAUGGCUAUUCAAAAAAAAAAAAAAGACAACAAA